ACUGCUUAGCGGUGAUCACUCGCUCCGUGCGUCGAUGAGACGCAGCUAGCGCGAGAAAUAAUGGAAUUGCAGACCACUUAUCAUCGACACUUCGAACGCCACUUGCGCCCGGUCCUCCCGGGGCUACGCUUGGCCGAGCCGUC
rnacentral:rRNA from 1 species